UUCAAUGAGUUUUAAACCACUUUUCUGACAUUUGGGGGCUUCCUGGGAUAUUCUGCAGGCAGAUUCUCUUUUGAGGGGGCCCCCAGCCUGCAGACCCCCUAGCACUUUCCUAAAUGGCUGGGCGCCCCAGCUGAGUUCAGUUCUCUCCAUCCAGGGGAGGCUAAGACCUGGAGGCCACGGCCACGAAGGACAGACAGAGUUCUAAACCUCCGAUUGGGUCAUCAACCACCAUCAUAGAUGCCAUCCUGGAACAUGGUGCCAUAAAAAGAGAGAUCUUCAAACCCAUGGUAAAGUCUGCUGCCAAUAGACCUGUCAUGGAUUCUACAAUGGACUGAUUCUAU